GUGGGGAAUAUUGGGCAAUGGGGGAAACCCUGACCCAGCAACGCCGCGUGAGGGAAGAAGGUUUUCGGAUUGUAAACCUCUGUCCUUGGUGACGAAGGAAGUGACGGUAGCCAAGGAGGAAGCCCCGGCUAACUACGUGCCAGCAGCCGCGGUAAUACGUAGGGGGCAAGCGUUGUCCGGAAUGACUGGGCGUAAAGGGCGUGUAGGCGGCCGAUUAAGUCUGGAGUGAAAGUCCUGCUUUCAAGGUGGGAAUUGCUUUGGAGACUGGUUGGCUUGAGUGCGGAAGAGGUAAGUGGAAUUCCCAGUGUAGCGGUGAAAUGCGUAGAGAUUGGGAGGAACACCAGUGGCGAAGGCGACUUACUGGGCCGUAACUGACGCUGAGGCGCGAAAGCGUGGGGAGCGAACAGGAUUAGAAACCCCGGUAGUCC
rnacentral:rRNA from 1 species